UACGGAAGGGGCAAGCGUUGUUCGGAAUUACUGGGCGUAAAGGGCUCGUAGGCGGCCAACUAAGUCGGACGUGAAAAUCCCCCAGGCUCAACCUGGGAACUGCGUCCGAUACUGGAUGGCUUAAUUGGGAGAGGGAUGCAGAAUUCCAGGUGUAGCGGUGAAAAUUCGUAGAUAUGGGGGAGGAACACCGGUGGCGAAGGCGGCCAUCUGGGACGG
rnacentral:rRNA from 1 species